UACGGAGGGUGCAAGCGUUAUCCGGAUUUACUGGGUUUAAAGGGUGUGUAGGCGGGCUUUUAAGUCAGUGGUGAAAUCUCCGGGCUCAACCCGGAAACUGCCAUUGAUACUAUUAGUCUUGAAUUCUGUUGAGGUGGGCGGAAUAAGUCAUGUAGCGGUGAAAUGCAUAGAUAUGACUUAGAACACCAAUUGCGAAGGCAGCUCGCUAAACAGAUAUUGACGCUGAGGCACGAAAGCGUGGGGAUCAAACAGG
rnacentral:rRNA from 1 species